UAGGGAAUCUUCGGCAAUGGGGGGAACCCUGACCGAGCAACGCCGCGCGAGUGAAGAAGGUUUUCGGAUCGUAAAGCUCUGUUGUUAAGGAAGAACGAGUGUGAGAAUGGAAAGUUCAUACUGUGACGGUACUUAACCAGAAAGGGACGGCUAACUACGUGCCAGCAGCCGCGGUAAUACGUAGGUCCCGAGCGUUGUCCGGAUUUAUUGGGCGUAAAGCGAGCGCAGGCGGUUAGAUAAGUCUGAAGUUAAAGGCAGUGGCUCAACCAUUGUAGGCUUUGGAAACUGUUUAACUUGAGUGCAGAAGGGGAGAGUGUAAUUCCAUGUGUAGCGGUGAAAUGCGUAGAUAUAUGUAGGAACACCGGUGGCGAAAGCGGCUCUCUGGUCUGUAACUGACGCUGAGGCUCGAAAGCGUGGGGAGCGAACAGG
rnacentral:rRNA from 1 species